rnacentral:lncRNA from 1 species
CCCACUGACCUGGAAAUGGCCGCCUUCAAAGGCCAAGACCACCGGUCCCAGGAAGACAUGCUGACUUUGCUGGAAUGCAUAAAGAAUAACCUUCCAACCAACAGCAGUUACAAGUUCAAAACCACCUAAUCACGUAUGAAAUGGGUGAAAAUUUCUGACAAGGUGAGGAAGUUGUGCACUUUGACAGAAUUGAUCCUCAAUGCCAGAAACAUGUUAAAAAUCCUUAAAAAGGUUAAACACAAAAAACUCAAACAACACCCAGACUUCCCAAAGAAGUCCCUGAUCCCUCAUUUCCACUUCCUCAUGGAGAAGCAGGCCAAGUGUGCAAAACUCCACCCUGAGAUAAGUAACCUGGACUUCACAAAGAUUCUGUCCAAGAAAUAAAAGGAGCUUCCUGAGAAGAUGAAAAUGAAAUAUAUUCAGGACUUUCCAAGGGAGAAACAGAGUUUGAGUGAAACCUGGCUCAUUUCAGGAAGGAUCAUCCCAACUUAAUCAAGAAUGCCAAGAAGCCAGACAUCCCCAAGAAGCUCAACUCCCCCACCCAGCAGCUGUGGUACACCCAUCGGAAGAAGGUGUAUUUUAAAGUGUGGCCAGAUGCCCCUACAAAGGAGGCGAAGAACUUUCUGGGGAAGUAGUGGUCUCAGCUCUCAGACAGACAAAAAAAAAAAAAAAAAAAAAGGCUGAAAUGGAUUCUUGAGGCUCCAGGAGCAGUGGAAGUAGUACAAGGAGAUCAUGCAGACCUAUAUCCAGGAGCGCCCUGAGCCGAACAUCACUGAGGAGGGCCCCACCGAGUCCACCCCUGCCAAGGCUGAACACCAGCUCAAGGACAAAUUUGAUGAUGGGCGACCCAACAAGCCACCUCGGAACAGCUACUCACUGUAGUGCGCAGAGCUCAUGGCCAACAAGAAGGAUGUUCCCAGCGCGGAGCGCAUGAUAUGCCGUGUGGCCAGCAGUGGAAGCUGCUCUCCCGGAAGGAGAAGGACGCCUAUGUGCGACCAGGAAACAAAAGAUUAUGAGGCGGAACUGCUGCGUUUUUCUCAGGAGACUGCCCCAGGAGGAGCAGCAGCAGGUCCUGUGGGAGGAGAGGGUGCUGAACAUCAACAAGAAGCAAGCCACCUGCCCGGCCUCCAAGAAGCCUCCAGCCCAGGAAGAGGGUAAGGAAGCCUCUGAGAAGCCCACGCGGCUUCUCGGGGCAGCAGCUGCAGGAGGAGCAGCCUAGGUUCUUGGAGAUCGAGCUGGCCUGCACGCUGGCCCGAAGGUGGAGUGACUUGUCUGAGAAGGCCAAGUACAAGACCCGAGAGCAAGCCAGGCAGGGAGUGCCAGGAACUCAGCAAGCCGCCCAAGUCAUCAAGAGAGUACAGAUCUGGCAACAGAGCAUCAUCAGCAACUACCUGGCCUGCUUCAAGAACGACCGGGUGAAGGCCUCGAAAGCCAUGGAUGUGACCUGGAAUCCCAAGGAGGAGAACCUGAUGUGAAUUGAGAAGACAGCCAAAGACCAAAAGUGAUGAGAGAGAGCUGAGUGCGAUGUGGGCACUUCCAGCUGCUACAGAGUCUUCCAAGAUGAUGAAAUUCCAGGGAGGAAGCAAGAAGCCUUGUGAACCGGUAUCAGAAAUUCUUCCAGGAACUGCUGUGCAAUGGGAGCUGAAACACCUGCCACAGACAGAGCGCAUGGUGGGUGGAAAUUGGCAGCCAUCUCCUGGAGUCAGAAGGAGCACUACAAAAAGCUGGCCAAUGAGCAGCGAAAGUAUACAAGGUGCACCUGGACACCUGGGUUAAUGGUCUCUGUCCCCAGGACCGCAGAGCCUAGAAAGAGUAUAUCUCUGAUAAAUGUAAGAGCAUGACCAAGCUGCGGACUCGAACUCCUCUGAGUCCAGACAAACAAUCCUGCAGUCCAAGUCAGAGUCCUAGGAAGAUGAUAAAGAGAACGAGGGCCAUGAGGACAAGGAUGGAGAAAAAAAUGGGGAUUCCUCUGAGGAUGGCAGGAACACCUCUGAGUCCAGCAGCAAGGAAGGGGAUGAGAAUGAGGAGUAUGAUGAGGAUGAAGAUGAGUCCAUGGGCAGCAGCUCCAGCUCCUCCUCUUCAGGGGACUCCUCAGGCCCUGAAUCCAGCUGA